CGUUCUUUGUAAAAUGUGUUUGUGGGUUGACCAUAAUAUUAAAUUAGCAUAAAGAAUCGGACCUGCCCAGUGACUUCUGUGUUAAACGGCCGCGGUACUCUGACCGUGCAAAGGUAGCAUAAUCAUUUGCCUUUUAAUUGGGGGCUUGUAUGAAUGGUUUGACGAAAACUAAGCUGUCUCUUUUUAAAUUUAAAAAAAUUAAUUUGUAGGUGAAGAAGCUUACAUUUAAUUGAGGGACAAGAAGACCCCGUUGAGCUUUAGUGAUCUAGUAAAAUAGCAAAUUUGGUAUUAUUGAUUACAUUAAAUUAGCAAUUACAUUAUUUAUGUAAAUGUUUUUUAUUAGAAAAUCUUUAGUUGGGGCGACUGAGGAACAAAGAAAGCUUCCUUUAUGUUUUAUAGUGGAAUUCAUUUUAAAUUCAUUAGAUCCAGUAUUUACUGAUCAAAGGAAAAAGUUACCACGGGGAUAACAGCGUAAUCUUUCUAGCGAGUUCUUAUCGAAGGAAGGGUUUGCGACCUCGAUGUUGGACUAAGAUAUCCUAGGGGUGUAGAAGCUCAUAAUGGUUAGUCUGUUCGACUAUUAAAAUCUU
rnacentral:rRNA from 1 species